CUCAUUUUUCUACUGCUCGUGGUAAGUGGCUUCGUGGUCUUUAUAGCUGUUACUCUUUUGUACUUUGUCUUUUUCUUUUAUUUUCUUUUGAGCGAUUGUGCGAACAUAGCAUAGCACGCACUAUGCCUUCUGUGUUGUAGCUGCCUGGCCAGGGCGACUGGCGGAUAAGGUCUUGUGCGUGGCCUCGAGGCUUAAAAGUAGCAGUGGGGCUUUGUGAAGGACAAAAUGGCGAUGGCGGGCCGUGUAGGUCCCCCUUCCUAUGAUGAGGACCUUUUCACAGACCUGUACUGAGCUCCGUGAGGAUAAAUAACUCUGAGGAGAUGGGCCCUGCAAGCCUCUUGCUUAGCCGUCUGUUCAGAAAAUAGCGUUUUCGAAAUGCCCUGAGUUGACCUAAUGUCUUAUUGGGCUCCUGUCUGCAGGAUUUACGCGCACGUUGGAACCGAAGAGAGCUCUGUUGUUGCACCCACAAGAGCUUACUGGUGAAGGAAUGGGACAAGACCCAUCUUUAUGCAAAGCCAGCGUUACAGUAAUGUUCCAGCAUCUCAUAAUCUAUCCUGGGGAAUUCAGCUGCCUCCCAGGGUGAAUACAGGUAUUCCUGAUGACAGUCUGCCUCUAUCUUACAGAGCAGCUUGUUGCUAUAUACCAUUGAAAAGCCUUCAGAGCUGAGAGGUACUACUAACCAAUAACCUGCUUGGCUCAAAGGGCCAGCACCUUCUCUCUAAAGCCCAAGAGGAGUUUGAGGAAAACUAGGUGUCUGUGUUCACUCCAGGCUGAAGUUACAGGUCUGAGCAAAUAAGGUGUAUAAAAAAUGGAAUCUGUCUUGGAGGACAUCAGAAGGUGAAUUUUCCAAGUUCUUGGACAACCUAGCUGUUGAAAAGCUUUCUGGGUUUGGGGGGUAUUUCAGAUGUACCUUAAAGUGUUAGCAGACACAGAUUAAGACACUGGGAGCCAAUGAAACAGCAGUUGAGGGUUUGCUGUGUAUCACAUUUCUGUAUUUUAUCACCCCCUUCCUGCAACAUUAUUUAUCUGGAAUCUACCUGCCCUUUUGUUUUUUAGAUACAAGGGCUUGGUUUUGUUACCCAGGCUGGUUUCAAGGCCAUAGCUUUAAGAGAUCCUCUCACCACAGAUUUCCAAAGUGCUGGGAUUGCAGGUGUGAUUCAUGGCACCCAGACUUUGCUGCCUUUCUUACAUGAUCCAGGCCCAGAACCCAAACUCAGGCACUGUAUAGAUGACCACUUUCGUAAACUACUGACCUAGCUUGUUGCCAAUUGUUGAUUGAACUUCCCAUAACUCCACUUCGUGUCUGUUCCUCUGUAUACAGCCACCUUCUGUUCCCGUCAUGAGCCUUUAGGUCUCCAUUUGCAUAUUGCAAAUACUAUGUUCCAUGUAGGUAGCUCAUUCAGGGCCUUGCUCUUCACUUCAAAAAAGGUUCCCUUGAGGACUGGCUGUCAAUUUGUGUUGCUGUGUUGGUUGUUGAUGAAAAUAAUAAAAUGAUUGAUUACAUAGUCCUGUUUAAAAAAAAAAAAA
rnacentral:lncRNA from 1 species